GUUACUUUGGCAGAUUAGUGCAAUAAAUUUAGAAUUUAUGAAUGUAAUUGAAUUACAGGUAAUA
rnacentral:tRNA from 1 species